UAGUUUGUUUUCUUGCACUUUUUCUCUAUCAAGUAAGUACUCGUCAUAUAUAUUUUUCCAUAUAUUUAUAUCAUGUCCCCUUCAGGUACAUUGAAAAGAGUCGAGCAGAAGAAUGGGCGUUAUUUCACUUGAACAUGAAGAAUCAGUCAGAGCAAAGAUUUUGAAAAUCUGGAAACAUUGUUGUUCAUUCACCCUAAGCAAAGAAGCAAAGAAAAUCUCAGAAAGAUUUGAAGCUGAAAGUAUGAUUCCAAGACAAGGCCAUGUACCACUUGAAUGCUACUUGAUUCCUGCUGGACAUUUUAAAGGUCAUGUCAAGUAAUACAAGUGUGAACAAAAAUACCAACUCUGAAAUAUUUAAGUGAGUUUGAAGAAGAUGACUUCAUAGAGGGUAAAUAUUGUCUAAAUUUCUUGAUCUCUUAUCAACAUUUUUUAUUUAAAGUUUUUU
rnacentral:lncRNA from 1 species